rnacentral:rRNA from 1 species
GACGAACGCUGGCGGCGUGCUUAACACAUGCAAGUCGAGCGGUAAGGCCCCUUCGGGGGUACACGAGCGGCGAACGGGUGAGUAACACGUGAGCAAUCUGCCCUUCACACGGGGAUAACUCCGGGAAACCGAAGCUAAUACCCGAUACGACCACUGGCCGCAUGGCCUGGUGGUGGAAAGUUCCGGCGGUGAAGGAUGAGCUCGCGGCCUAUCAGCUUGUUGGUGGGGUAGUGGCCUACCAAGGCAACGACGGGUAGCCGGCCUGAGAGGGUGACCGGCCACACUGGGACUGAGACACGGCCCAGACUCCUACGGGAGGCAGCAGUGGGGAAUAUUGGACAAUGGGCGAAAGCCUGAUCCAGCAACGCCGCGUGAGGGAUGACGGCCUUCGGGUUGUAAACUUCUUUCAGCAGGGACGAAGCGCAAGUGACGGUACCUGCAGAAGAAGCACCGGCCAACUACGUGCCAGCAGCCGCAGUAA